GACGAACGCUGGCGGCGUGCUUAACACAUGCAAGUCGAGCGGAAAGGCCCUUUCGGGGGUACUCGAGCGGCGAACGGGUGAGUAACACGUGAGUAAUCUGCCCUGUGCUCUGGGAUAGCCACCGGAAACGGUGAUUAAUACCGGAUACGACCACUAUAGGCAUCUGUUGGUGGUGGAAAGUUUUUUCGGCAUGGGAUGUGCUCGCGGCCUAUCAGCUUGUUGGUGAGGUAAUGGCUCACCAAGGCUUUGACGGGUAGCCGGCCUGAGAGGGUGACCGGUCACACUGGGACUGAGACACGGCCCAGACUCCUACGGGAGGCAGCAGUGGGGAAUAUUGGACAAUGGGCGGAAGCCUGAUCCAGCAACGCCGCGUGAGGGAUGACGGCCUUCGGGUUGUAAACCUCUUUCAGUACCGACGAAGCGAAAGUGACGGUAGGUACAGAAGAAGGACCGGCCAACUACGUGCCAGCCGCCGCCGUAAUAC
rnacentral:rRNA from 1 species